rnacentral:snoRNA from 1 species
AUUAAAACUAAAACCUCCUCAGGAAUGUAUCAACUUGGAAGAAAACUUGGUAUGCCUAAGGUCUUUGGGGAACAAGGGAUACACACUUCCUUUACCUCACUUUGGCUGCUUCCAUGC